rnacentral:rRNA from 1 species
UCAGGCGGGAGAGACCAACAGGGAUUGCCUCAGUAACGGCGAGUGAAGCGGCAACAGCUCAAAUUUGAAAUCUGGCCCUCGGGUCCGAGUUGUAAUUUGUAGAGGAUGCUUUUGGCGCGGUGCCUUCCGAGUUCCCUGGAACGGGACGCCUUAGAGGGUGAGAGCCCCGUACGGUUGGACACCAAGCCUCUGUAAAGCUCCUUCGACGAGUCGAGUAGUUUGGGAAUGCUGCUCUAAAUGGGAGGUAAAUUUCUUCUAAAGCUAAAUAUUGGCCAGAGACCGAUAGCGCACAAGUAGAGUGAUCGAAAGAUGAAAAGCACUUUGAAAAGAGGGUUAAAUAGCACGUGAAAUUGUUGAAAGGGAAGCGUUUGCGACCAGACCUUUUCCUGGCGGAUCAUCCGGUGUUCUCACCGGUGCACUUCGCCAGGUCGAGGCCAGCAUCGGUUUCCGCGGGGGGAUAAAAGCUCUGGGAACGUAGCUCCUCCGGGAGUGUUAUAGCCCUCUGCACAAUACCCCCGCGGGGACCGAGGACCGCGCUCUAAGCAAGGAUGCUGGCGUAAUGGUUGUCAACGACCCGUCUUGAAACACGGACCAAGGAGUCGAACAUUUGUGCGAGUGUUUGGGUGUCAAACCCUCACGCGUAAUGAAGGUGAACGUAGGUGAGAGCCCUUACGGGUGCAUCAUCGACCGAUCCUGAUGUCUUCGGAUGGAUUUGAGUAAGAGCAUAACUGUUCGGACCCGAAAGAUGGUGAACUAUGCGUGGAUAGGGUGAAGCCAGAGGAAACUCUGGUGGAGGCUCGCAGCGGUUCUGACGUGCAAAUCGAUCGUCAAAUCUGCGCAUGGGGGCGAAAGACUUAUCGAACCAUCUAGUAGCUGGUUACCGCCGAAGUUUCCCUCAAGAUAGCAGUGUUGUUCUUCAGUUUUAUGAGUAAAGCGAAUGAUUAGGGACUCGGGGGCGCUUUUUUGCCUUCAUCC